UACAGAGACUGCAAGCGUUAUUCGGAUUCACUGGGCGUAAAGGGUGCGCAGGCGGCCAAGUGUGUGAGGCGUGAAAGCCCGGGGCUUAACCCCGGAAUUGCACCUCAAACUACAUGGCUAGAGCAUUGGAGAGGGUGAGAGACAGUAAUUCUGAUGGUGUAGCAGUAGAAAUGCGUAGAUAUCAUGAGGAAUACCCAGAGGCGAAGGCGGCUACCUGGACAAUUGCUGACGCUCAGGCACGAAAAGCGUGGGGGAGCGAACAGGUUAGAAACCCCCA
rnacentral:rRNA from 1 species